rnacentral:rRNA from 1 species
UGGCGAACGGGUGAGUAACACGUGGGUGAUCUGCCCUGCACUUCGGGAUAAGCCUGGGAAACUGGGUCUAAUACCGGAUAGGACCACAUUUUGGAUGGUGUGGUGGAAAGUUUUUCGGUGUGGGAUGAGCUCGCGGCCUAUCAGCUUGUUGGUGGGGUAAUGGCCUACCAAGGCGUCGACGGGCAGCCGGCCUGAGAGGGUGUACGGCCACAUUGGGACUGAGAUACGGCCCAG